rnacentral:misc_RNA from 1 species
UACAACACUAACUGAAUAUGCAAUGUCAAGAUGAGUCACUAUCGGUUAGUUUAGUUUACCAACCAGUCUUCUAUAUUUCUCAAGAUCACCAAACAAUGCACCAUCAAUCUUUUGUAAGUUGCAAGUUGGGAACCAUAGGAGUGCUACAUGGCUUAGCAUCCAAUUUUCCUGUCUCUGCCAACAAAUCAAGAACAUAAAUUUUUUUUAGAUAGAAAAAUACGUUUCAUAAACAUUGCCACCUCAAUACCCAAGAAAUAAUUCAACAAUUCCAAGCCCUUUGUCUGAAACUGGGUAUAAAGAAAGGAUUUUAGAGAAGAAAUAUCCGCAAUUUCACUUCCAA